UACGAAGGGGGCGAGCGUUGUUCGGAUUUACUGGGCGUAAAGGGUGCGUAGGCGGUUUGACAAGUCUGAUGUGAAAUCUAUGGGCUCAACCCAUAGUCUGCAUCGGAAACUGUCGGGCUUGAGUAUGGGAGAGGUGAGUGGAAUUCCUGGUGUAGCGGUGAAAUGCGUAGAUAUCAGGAGGAACACCUGUGGCGAAAGCGGCUCACUGGACCAUAACUGACGCUGAUGCACGAAAGCUAGGGGAGCAAACAGG
rnacentral:rRNA from 1 species